rnacentral:rRNA from 1 species
UGUGUAGGUGGUUAGGUAAGUUAGAUGUGAAAUCCCCGGGCUUAACCUGGGAACUGCGUUUAAAACUGCUUAACUAGAGUAAUGUAGAGGGUAGUGGAAUUUCCAGUGUAGCGGUGAAAUGCGUAGAUAUUGGAAGGAACACCAGUGGCGAAGGCGACUACCUGGACAGAUACUGACACUGAGACACGAAAGCGUGGGGAGCAAACAGGAUUAGAUACCCUGGUAGUCCAUGCUGUAAACUAUGAGAACUUGCUGUUGGAUGCAUAAAGGCAUUUAGUAGCGAAGCUAACGCGUUAAGUUCUCCGCCUGGGGAGUACGGCCGCAAGGCUAAA